rnacentral:rRNA from 1 species
UACGUAGGGUGCGAGCGUUAAUCGGAAUUACUGGGCGUAAAGCGUGCGCAGGCGGUUCGUUAAGUCAGAUGUGAAAGCCCCGGGCUCAACCUGGGAACUGCAUUUGAAACUGGCGGGCUUGAGUGCGGCAGAGGGGGGUGGAAUUCCGCGUGUAGCAGUGAAAUGCGUAGAGAUGCGGAGGAACACCGAUGGCGAAGGCAGCCCCCUGGGCCGACACUGACGCUGAGGCGCGAAAGCUAGGGGAGCAAACGGG